UUUAACCAGGUUUUCCGAAGGAAAAAACUGGUUAUUAGAUUGGCGAAUGCGGGCGGGCUGGCUGGCUGGCUGGCUGGCGGGCUGGCUGGCUGGCUGGCGGGCUGGCGGAAUAAGCUUGUCCGGGCCAUAACUAUGUCGUUCAUUGUCAGAUUUUAAAAUCAUUUGGCACAUUUGUUCACCAUCAUUGGACGGUGUGUCGCGCGAAAUAAUUACGUCGAUAUCUCCAAGGUCAAGGUCACACUUUGAGUUCAAAGGUCAAAAAUGGCCAUAAAUGAGCUUGUCCGAGCCAUAACUAUGUCGUUCAUCGUCAGAUUUUAAAAUCAUUUGGCACAUUUGUUCACCAUCAUUGGACGGUGUGUCGCGCGAAAUAAUUACGUCGAUAUCUCCAAGGUCAAGGUCACACUUUGAGUUCAAAGGUCAAAAAUGGCCAUAAAUGAGCUUGUCCUGGCCAUAACUAUGUCAUUCAUUGUGAGAUUUUAAAAUCAUUUGGCACAUUUGUUCACCAUCAUGGGACGGUGUGUCACACGAAAGAAUCACGUCAAUAUCUCCAAUGUCAAGGUCGCCACGACUAAAAAUAGAUUUUUUUAAAAAACAAACUUACAAAGGGGGUUAAUUUUGUUUGUUCAUUUCAAAAGUUCAGUUUGAGUUUUCUCCCUUUAUCAGAUUUUUUUUCACAAUGAAAACCUGGUUUUGUGACAAUUUUGUCCCUUGUUAAUGUAUUGAUUCCAAAAUUUGUAUAGAAAAUAUGUUACAAACAUCUUAAAUUUAUUGGAUUAGCUAAGCUAGUAGAGUUCUUUUACUCAGUAAUAUAAUAUAUACAAACAUAGUGAGCCAGAGGGUUGUGGCAGUACACAAAAUAAAAUGAAUAAUGAUUAGAAUUUAAACUAAUUUGUGAGUAAAUGUAAAUGUUUCAAACAUACAUCUUAUAAAUAACUAUAAUUCAUACUUGACAUAGGAUCAGCGGUGUGAUUUUUCCUCCUUUCAGCUGAUUUCCUGCCUUUCAAUGUCAAACAAAUAGUUUAUAACUUAGCUGGAUCUGAAUAAAAAUGAAGAGUUUAACUAAGUCCUGUAAGGGGGGUAGGGCAUUCUCCUUCCCUUAUGUGGUUCUUAAAUCACACCCCUGAGGAUGUACCAUACAUAAAUAGUGGAUUGGUUCCACCAUUAGAACUUUAUAAACAUACUGACAGUAUGUCCAAAAUAUUUGUAAUGUUUUAAUAUUUUAAUCAGGACAUAAAAUAUUAAUCGGACCAUAAAAUAUCUUGUGCAAGCAGCAGCAUGAAGUUAGGAAAACUUCGUUUUGUGCUUUCAUUGUUAAGUAUUUCAUUAGAGAGUAUUUUAUUUCUGUUUUAAGUGCUUUUAAAUGUUGAAAUAUAGUUAUGUGUCUAGUCUUUACAAUGAUAUACAAGUCUGAAAUGGUAUAUAAAUAUAAUAACUCGAUUGUUGUCAGUUGAUCACUUACUCUAAUGCAUAUUUGUAUGUUCUCAGAACAGGUGCUGUAUAAUACUUGACAAUUUGUUUUCUCUGUGUAUAUGAAUCAAAGAUCUUGUAAAAUACUACACACAAGUUUUUUAAUGAAGUUUAAAAUCCUGGUUAUUAGAUUGAGGUAUGGCGAUGGCAUCAGACAGGUGGAGGUAUUGCACUGAGUGUUGUGAUUAGGUAACUAACAUGCACACCUAGCUUAGGAGUUCACAAUUAUUUUGAUUGAAUUAAUAUCUUUAACAUUGAAAACCUGGUUUUGUUUCAAUGGCAUGUCACUGGUUUAAGUUUUCUUUUCAUUAACCCUCACCACAUAGAUACGUAUUUUGAUAUUUUACAUCCCAGAAAUUUAAAUUUAAUUUAAAACCUUUCUAACAAGAUUCAAGUUCAAAAGGCUUCAUUUCCGACCCAAAGAUACUGGUGAGUAGCAAACCGCAUUAAACCUGAACAGACUGCAAAAUACUUUGGCUGUUCUGGUUUAAUGCUGUUCGCAUAUAGCCAUUUUCACUUUGCUUCUGAGUGGGAAAGGGUUAAUAUAAAACAGUUUACUAUAGUGGGUUCUCAUUUUGUUUGUUUGGAACAUGGAUGAUUUCUAGUAAUAAUGUUAAAUCAUAAUGUAAAUAUUAAUAUUGACAUGUAUAUUCAUGUAUACUUGUAUGCUUUCUGAAGGUCUUGUGUUUUGUUACUUUCUGCCAUCUGUUUGAAUACAAUAAUGUCGACAGUUUUUUUGUAUCGAAUGUUAUUAAACUGUCGAUUUAAUUAGGUGUAAAAUGGUCAGAACUUGAGGUUUAAAUACAGUUGUUAGGAUAAGUCGUAUCAUAGGGAAGGAUUUUGAAUGGAUUUCUUUCUGUAAUGCUCUGAAGUUCAAUUGUUUGAAAAUACCCAUUUGUCAGAUUACAUUGUUACAUUGGAUUGAGUAUUUUAUUUAAAGUGGUAAUAUUUUCACUUUUCAUUAUAACUGAAGUUCGAUUUUAUUAUCUCCUUAAAUUCCUGAAAUACUUUUUAACUAUAUAAUUCUGUACACUAGCACAUUACCAAUAUGUUGAUCAUCUAGAGAAAAUUGUAAACAAAAAGUUUAUGUAAAAUUGUUGAAGAAAUCAGUUUUAGAUUGUGAAAACAAUCCCCAGCAUUAAGAUUGAACACUGGAACCAGUUGUUAAUAAUAUUCUUGAAAGAAUGUCAAGAAAUCUUGGUGAGAUAUCAUAUGGUAGUGAACCUUAAGAAAGCUUGUAAUGGGAGUAGUUAUUGAAGACGUUCAUAGAAUUGUUAAAUAUAUUUUAAAGAAGUAUGAAUUUUGUUUGUAUAUAAUGUCUACUGUUAUUUAUAUAAACACAAAAGGCAGCAUAUUCGUUAGUAUUAAUUUACAUAGGAUAGAUAGGUGGUUAAAUUAACAAUAUAAGGUAAUGAAUGGGAUCUUGAUAGUUUUGCUGCAUGGCUGUUUAUUUGUGUAUGCAUGUUAUCUUGAAAAACAAAAAAAUGUCAAUAUUAUUUUCUGUAUAUUAGGGUUAUUUUCAAAUGAAGCUGGCAAUGUCAGUGUAUUGUGUAUAUUUGUAACUUGCUAUAUUUUCAUUCUAUAGUGUCAUGUCAGGACAGAUGUGUUUAGGAUGUGCCUCAUGUACAUUAAUGCAAAUAAUCGUAGGAAAGUGUACAUUAUCUGUUCCAACUGGUGAGACACUUAACAUUUAUUGGAUUUCACAUCUACAGUAUGGAUUGUUUGAACCUUGUAUUAUUUAAAUCCUAACUAUUUAUUUCAAUAGUCAAAUAUUGGUCAUCAAAGUAAACAAAUAUAAUGGUUUAAUUGUUAAAUAAGCGCAUUUGUUAUUUAUUUUAGAUAUGUAAGUUGCAAAUGUAGGUUGAUAAUUGUUAUUUGUACAGACAAAACAUAUGUUUGAAUCAUUUUUAAUUGAUUCAUGCAUAACAUUUUUACUUUGUAAUAAAAUGUUAUUUGAUUUGUUCACUAGGCAUGUUUAUUGUGUUAGUUACAAUAUAGUAAAUGAAAAUGUGGUUUUAUCACAUGCUUGUGUAUGGAACUCUCCUCUUUGUAAUAACAGCAGGUACCUGGUCUGUCACAAGAAUUGUUAUGCCCCCACAGAAUGGGAGGCAUUAAGCUUUGUGCUUGUCUGUUCAUAAGUUUGCCAGAUUUCAGUCAAACUAUUACUGCCUCAAGACCUUAAUGUGGAGAUUAUCUGUAAAAAGAGGAAUUAUUGUGAGGCCAGUUUUGGCUGAAUUGUGGCCCUUUGUGUUUCCAAAAUGGAAUAUUUAGUACCAAAUCAUUUCUGUACUGAAACUGCUUUGUUUAUUUCAAUCAAACUUUAAAUGUAAAAAUACUUAAAUGUAUAGAAGAUGGUAUCAAAAGGAAUUCAGGCUACAACCAGUUUGGGAGAAUUAUGGCUUUGUCCAAACAUGCACUGUUAGGGCAUUAGUGACACACUUUUACUGUUUUAGGAAUGUUUAAAAUAGUGCACCAGGUUUCACCAGUAGAUUUUCAUUUUGGAAACAUGGGCAUCAGCUGGUUACAUGUUGUAGAACUACCCACUAUGCACGCAGUGGUAAGAAUGUGAUGUGGUUGUAUCUGAUUUGUCUCAACCAGUCUUCUGUUUGCUCAAUGCCGGUGUGAGAACAUGUGUCUGUAACAUCCAAGAAUGUAUGGGAUAUAUUAGUUGUUUGUGUGUGAACUAAUUAUCAGUCUUUCACUGCUUUGUCAGAUUAGCACAUUUUAUAUCAGUAAAAAGAAAUUUUGUAAAGCAUGCAUGAUGCCUCUUCAUUGCUCACUUGCUAAAUUUUAUGUUUACUUUUGAAGUUUUGUUUAUCGUAAGAUUUUAUUAGGGCAUUUUAUAAUUUUAGUAUGUUUUAUGAUUGACGUGUCUUAUUGUUUUAUCUAGCUGCAUGAACGGUGGAAAUAUAUUUCAAUACUGAAACACAAAAUUUGUCAGCAUGAAACAUUCCAAUACUUGACUUGAUACACUGGAUGUAUCUUUCUGCUCAGACUAUAUAACAUUUCUUUUCUUUGAUGACUUUUUAAGUUGCUUUAAGUUACACAAAUUAGCUAGUGCUUAAUUGUAUUUUAUUUUGGGAUCUCUUCACUCUAUUUUUCUGUAUAUAAUGGCGAUUUAUUUAAUCAAUUGUAUAUAAUAAGUGAAAAUGGGUGGUUAAUGUGUGAAGUUUGAAAGUCUGUUAUGUGUAAUUUAAAUGUUAACUUUCUUCUUUCAUUUUUAACUGACUAAUAUUAUUAUUAAAAAGUACUUAUUAAUGUAUUACUGCUGAUCAAAUUAGAUAAUUUGUUGCUGUUAUUCAAGAUGCAUUUGGGUCCAAUACUAACGGCAUCUGUCAACAUAAGAAUAUACACAAUGUCAUAUUUAACGACUUUUUAGCUUAGCUGUUUUCUAGCAUGCUUCUGUUAUAUUUAUGGUUAAUGCAUGUAAUUUUCUGCUAAACAUGUCAUGUUUAUACGUAUCUGUGUAAAGUUUGUAAACAUUUUGCGGUAUGUAAAUGAAUAUCAAUUUAACAUACCGUUUGAAGGAUGUUAAAGUAUUCUAUUGUGUGUGAAUGAGCGUGGUUCUAGUAUGUAGACGGGAAUAACUAACAUGCCUUAGAAAUAUGAUUUAUAAUUUAUUGA